GAUGAACGCUAGCGGCAGGCUUAAUACAUGCAAGUCGAGGGGCAGCAUGAUUGUAGCAAUACAAUUGAUGGCGACCGGCAAACGGGUGCGGAACACGUACACAACCUCCCAAUAAGUGGGGAAUAGCCCAGAGAAAUUUGGAUUAAUACCCCGUAACAUAACGAUGUGGCAUCACAUUGUUAUUAUAGAUUUUUCGCUUAUUGAUGGGUGUGCGGCUGAUUAGAUAGUUGGCGGGGUAACGGCCCACCAAGUCUACGAUCAGUAGCUGAUGUGAGGACAUGAUCAGCCACACGGGCACUGAGACACGGGCCCGACUCCUACGGGAGGCAGCAGUAAGGAAUAUUGGACAAUGGACGCAAGUCUGAUCCAGCCAUGCCGCGUGAAGGAUUAAGGUCCUCUGGGUUGUAAACUUCUUUUAUAAGGGACGAAAAAAGGCUUUUCUAAGUCGUCUGACGGUACCUUAUGAAUAAGCACCGGCUAACUCCGUGCCAGCCGCCGCCGUAAAAC
rnacentral:rRNA from 1 species